rnacentral:rRNA from 1 species
UCGAGAAUCUUCCGCAAUGGACGAAAGUCUGACGGAGCGACGCCGCGUGGUGGAUGAAGUCCUUAGGGACGUAAACACCUUUUAUGAGUGAAGAAGUUUAUUGACAUUAGCUCAUGAAUAAGGGGCUCCCAACUCUGUGCCAGCAGGAGCGGUAAUACAGAGGCCUCAAGCGUUAUCCGGAUUCACUGGGCGUAAAGGGUGCGUAGGCGGUGAUAUUAGUCGGGUGUAAAAUCCAAGGGCUCAACCUUUGGCUCGCAUUCGAAACGGUAUCACUAGAAGAUGUGAGAGGUGAAGAGAACUCUCGGUGUAGGGGUGAAAUCCGUUGAUAUCGAGGGGAAUACCAAAUGCGAAGGCACUUCACUGGCGCAAUCUUGACGCUGAGGCACGAAAGCGUGGGUAGCGAACGGGAUUAGAUACCCCGGUAGUCC